UUAAGCGACUAAGCGUACACGGUGGAUGCCCUGGCAGUCAGAGGCGAUGAAGGACGUGCUAAUCUGCGAUAAGCGUCGGUAAGGUGAUAUGAACCGUUAUAACCGGCGAUUUCCGAAUGGGGAAACCCAGUGUGAUUCGUCACACUAUCAUUAACUGAAUCCAUAGGUUAAUGAGGCGAACCGGGGGAACUGAAACAUCUAAGUACCCCGAGGAAAAGAAAUCAACCGAGAUUCCCCCAGUAGCGGCGAGCGAACGGGGAGGAGCCCAGAGCCUGAAUCAGUGUGUGUGUUAGUGGAAGCGUCUGGAAAGGCGCGCGAUACAGGGUGACAGCCCCGUACACAAAAAUGCACAUGCUGUGAGCUCGAUGAGUAGGGCGGGACACGUGGUAUCCUGUCUGAAUAUGGGGGGACCAUCCUCCAAGGCUAAAUACUCCUGACUGACCGAUAGUGAACCAGUACCGUGAGGGAAAGGCGAAAAGAACCCCGGCGAGGGGAGUGAAAAAGAACCUGAAACCGUGUACGUACAAGCAGUGGGAGCACAGAAAUCUGUGUGACUGCGUACCUUUUGUAUAAUGGGUCAGCGACUUAUAUUCUGUAGCAAGGUUAACCGAAUAGGGGAGCCGAAGGGAAACCGAGUCUUAACGGGCGUUAAGUUGCAGGGUAUAGACCCGAAACCCGGUGAUCUAGCCAUGGGCAGGUUGAAGGUUGGGUAACACUAACUGGAGGACCGAACCGACUAAUGUUGAAAAAUUAGCGGAUGACUUGUGGCUGGGGGUGAAAGGCCAAUCAAACCGGGAGAUAGCUGGUUCUCCCCGAAAGCUAUUUAGGUAGCGCCUCGUGAAUUCAUCUCCGGGGGUAGAGCACUGUUUCGGCAAGGGGGUCAUCCCGACUUACCAACCCGAUGCAAACUGCGAAUACCGGAGAAUGUUAUCACGGGAGACACACGGCGGGUGCUAACGUCCGUCGUGAAGAGGGAAACAACCCAGACCGCCAGCUAAGGUCCCAAAGUCAUGGUUAAGUGGGAAACGAUGUGGGAAGGCCCAGACAGCCAGGAUGUUGGCUUAGAAGCAGCCAUCAUUUAAAGAAAGCGUAAUAGCUCACUGGUCGAGUCGGCCUGCGCGGAAGAUGUAACGGGGCUAAACCAUGCACCGAAGCUGCGGCAGCGACACUGUGUGUUGUUGGGUAGGGGAGCGUUCUGUAAGCCUGUGAAGGUGUCUGUGAGGAUGCUGGAGGUAUCAGAAGUGCGAAUGCUGACAUAAGUAACGAUAAAGCGGGUGAAAAGCCCGCUCGCCGGAAGACCAAGGGUUCCUGUCCAACGUUAAUCGGGGCAGGGUGAGUCGACCCCUAAGGCGAGGCCGAAAGGCGUAGUCGAUGGGAAACAGGUUAAUAUUCCUGUACUUGGUGUUACUGCGAAGGGGGGACGGAGAAGGCUAUGUUGGCCGGGCGACGGUUGUCCCGGUUUAAGCGUGUAGGCUGGUUUUCCAGGCAAAUCCGGAAAAUCAAGGCUGAGGCGUGAUGACGAGGCACUACGGUGCUGAAGCAACAAAUGCCCUGCUUCCAGGAAAAGCCUCUAAGCAUCAGGUAACAUCAAAUCGUACCCCAAACCGACACAGGUGGUCAGGUAGAGAAUACCAAGGCGCUUGAGAGAACUCGGGUGAAGGAACUAGGCAAAAUGGUGCCGUAACUUCGGGAGAAGGCACGCUGAUAUGUAGGUGAAGUCCCUCGCGGAUGGAGCUGAAAUCAGUCGAAGAUACCAGCUGGCUGCAACUGUUUAUUAAAAACACAGCACUGUGCAAACACGAAAGUGGACGUAUACGGUGUGACGCCUGCCCGGUGCCGGAAGGUUAAUUGAUGGGGUCAGCGCAAGCGAAGCUCUUGAUCGAAGCCCCGGUAAACGGCGGCCGUAACUAUAACGGUCCUAAGGUAGCGAAAUUCCUUGUCGGGUAAGUUCCGACCUGCACGAAUGGCGUAAUGAUGGCCAGGCUGUCUCCACCCGAGACUCAGUGAAAUUGAACUCGCUGUGAAGAUGCAGUGUACCCGCGGCAAGACGGAAAGACCCCGUGAACCUUUACUAUAGCUUGACACUGAACAUUGAGCCUUGAUGUGUAGGAUAGGUGGGAGGCUUUGAAGUGUGGACGCCAGUCUGCAUGGAGCCGACCUUGAAAUACCACCCUUUAAUGUUUGAUGUUCUAACGUGGACCCGUGAUCCGGGUUGCGGACAGUGUCUGGUGGGUAGUUUGACUGGGGCGGUCUCCUCCUAAAGAGUAACGGAGGAGCACGAAGGUUGGCUAAUCCUGGUCGGACAUCAGGAGGUUAGUGCAAUGGCAUAAGCCAGCUUGACUGCGAGCGUGACGGCGCGAGCAGGUGCGAAAGCAGGUCAUAGUGAUCCGGUGGUUCUGAAUGGAAGGGCCAUCGCUCAACGGAUAAAAGGUACUCCGGGGAUAACAGGCUGAUACCGCCCAAGAGUUCAUAUCGACGGCGGUGUUUGGCACCUCGAUGUCGGCUCAUCACAUCCUGGGGCUGAAGUAGGUCCCAAGGGUAUGGCUGUUCGCCAUUUAAAGUGGUACGCGAGCUGGGUUUAGAACGUCGUGAGACAGUUCGGUCCCUAUCUGCCGUGGGCGCUGGAGAACUGAGGGGGGCUGCUCCUAGUACGAGAGGACCGGAGUGGACGCAUCACUGGUGUUCGGGUUGUCAUGCCAAUGGCACUGCCCGGUAGCUAAAUGCGGAAGAGAUAAGUGCUGAAAGCAUCUAAGCACGAAACUUGCCCCGAGAUGAGUUCUCCCUGACCCUUUAAGGGUCCUGAAGGAACGUUGAAGACGACGACGUUGAUAGGCCGGGUGUGUAAGCGCAGCGAUGCGUUGAGCUAACCGGUACUAAUGAACCGUGAGGCUUAACCUU
rnacentral:rRNA from 1 species